UACGUAGGGGGCUAGCGUUGUCCGGAAUCACUGGGCAUAAAGCGCACGUAGGCGGCCAUAUAAGUCGGGUGUGAAAGCCCUCGGCUCAACCGAGGAACUGCGCCCGAUACUGCAUGGCUUGAGGUCCGGAGGGGAGAGUGGAAUUCCCGGUGGAGCGGUGAAAUUCGUAGAUAUCGGGAGGAACACCAGUGGCGAAGGCGGCGAUCUGGGCAGAUACUGACGCUGAUGUGCGAAAGCGUGGGAGCAACAGG
rnacentral:rRNA from 1 species